rnacentral:rRNA from 1 species
GGUGAACGCUGGCGGCGUGCCUAACACAUGCAAGUCGAGCGGUGCGGUUUGAAGCUUCGGUGGAAAGCUGCAUAGCGGCGGACGGGUGAGGAAAACGUAGGAACGUGCCCCUUGGAGUUGGAUAGCCACGGGAAACUGUGGGUAAACCGACAUAGACUCGAGAGAGUAAAGGCCGAAAGGCGCCAAGGGAGCGGCCUGCGGCCCAUCAGGUAGUUGGUAGUGUAAAGGACUACCAAGCCGACGACGGGUAGCCGGUCUGAGAGGAUGUACGGCCACACUGGGACUGAGACACGGCCCAGACUCCUACGGGAGGCAGCAGUGGGGAAUCUUCCGCAAUGGGCGCAAGCCUGACGGAGCAACGCCGCGUGGGUGAAGAAGGCCUUCGGGUUGUAAAGCCCUGUCUUAUGGGAAGAAGUACAGUGACGGUACCAUAGGAGGAAGCCACGGCUAACUAACGUGCCAGCAGCCGCGGUAAAAUAAGCGUAACU